UAUCUGUUGGUCCAACAGCAGGCUUUGGAUGAUGGAAGACCCUAACUCAACUUGGCUCCUCCUCAACCCUCAUUUAAUUCAGAUUUCCCCACCAUGGGGAUAUGCUGAGAUAUAAUUCCUAUCAUCCCCUAACCAGGCACCACAUUGGAGAACAACGGCUAAAGUUUCCAUUUUCCUUAGAUUGAUACUUACCACCCAAAAACCUUCCCAUUUCCUACAUAGCUCUUGCUUUCACUAUGCACUUCUUACAUUUUGGGGAGUGGGAAAGAGUUGUUGGCCUCUUCCUGCUCUUAACAUUUUUAAACUGUAGUGGGGCUGAAAGAAAACAAUACGAUUAUAAAUAAUUGGUGCAGAGGAUCGUGAGAUUCAGGAAGUGAAUGGCGGAAGGUAAUUUUUAUUGUAAGUCCCAUGUGCCCUCCCAAGAUGGCAGCUUUCAAAUGACCCUGAUGGAAAAUAUGCAGAAGGUACAGAUUUUCUUAAAGAGUUUGACUCAGUAAUAUAACCACAUUUACAACCAAAUUUUCCCACUUCCCUGUGUUUGUAAUCUGAAUGUGAAACACAAUUAUCCAAGGGCUUGGGGAAAGAGCAGAAAUACCUUGCAUAUAGAAAGCCAAAUCUACAGUUCAUACCAUGAUAUUUCUAAAUGCUAUUCCAGGAACAACAGUUGUGGAAAAAGUGUGUUUGAAAUGGGUAAUUUUCUCCAACAUAGUCCUUUACAUAAGCUUGCCACUUGGGUGGCGGCGGCGGCGGCGGCUUCCAAAAGUCCUUAGUGAACAUGUUAGAGAAACUGGCCUUUUUUCUAUGCCUUCUGCCGGUAGCCUAAAUUCUAGACACACCAAUUUACCAUGCUAUGUAUGAAAAGAAGGACUCUUCCCUUGUGACAGGUGCAUAGACACGUGAGUGGGUCAUUUGUACGUCCAUCAUAAAUUUGGUUGUCAAGAAAGAUUAUGAUUGUACUUGGCAUAUACUUCAUCCCUGGGUCCUCAUGACUUCAAGUGGGUUCCAAAACAAGGAUGAUGUUUCAAGGGUGUAGGUGGCAUUGUAUGCCGUGACCCAUUGCCUAAGCAGAAGCUGGAGGAAAAGGAGAGUUAGGAUGGCAAAUGGAAUGCCAUAAUAGUGUGAAAGUAGAAAUCCAUUCUACUUGCUUUCUGAGAAUAAUGUAGAAAAGCAUUUGCCAACUGCAAACUUCUCAUUCCAGGUGGCCUUUUCUCCGACAUGUUGCAGAGAUGCCGGGGAGUCCUACAUAUUCCAACAGCUGUAAAAGAAGCCUGGAUAGCUAAACUACCAUUGCAUCAGGGUAGAAGUACUUAGGGUAGAAGCUUUAAUGUCUGCACUCCUAGAAUGAUUUAACAAACAAAUGCUUUCUAUUUCUGUUGCCAGAUCUGGGUUAGUACCUAACGUAGGAAAAAUGGUUCUCUGGAGAGCUGUAAUCUUUGAUCCAAAAGAUCUUUAAUUCGAGAUAUAUGGAAGAUGUCUGUGCUGAAUAAGCCAGGAAGGGAAGACUUAAUUUUAUGGCACUAUUUUUGAUGAUAGAUAUUGAGCAAAGUAAGUUUUAAUAGACCUACUAUUUAAGUUGCAGGGGCCAAUUCUGCCAGAAUGCAUGGGGACCCAAUCCAAGGAAAUCCCAUUGAUCCCAUCUGAAUACUAGGCAUAUCCUACCCUCUCAACUUCCAAAAUACUUGUUUUAAUGGAUAUUCCCUUAUAAAAUUAAAAAAAAAACUUUUAAAAUCUUUUUUUAAAGAAUCUUUUUUUGGAAAAAAAACAUAACCAAGGAUUAGACAGUCAAUACCAAGGACACUGUAGAUUUGUAUACAAAACUGGGCACAUUCAGGCUUUGGCACAUUAAGUUGUCUGCCUUCGCCCCAUACCCUGCAAGGAUGUUUGUUUCCAUCAUCCCUGGACUUCUUUUCCUAAAACUAAAAGGAAUGUUAUUUACAUUAAAAAUGCUUUGCUGUAAGGCAAAACUCGGAUUCCUUCAUUCGGACAAGCCUAGAGAUUUGAUGAGAUCAGAGGUUUCACCAGCUUUGGGGAAGCUACCUCCAGAAAUGAUGAAGAAAGAUCAGCAGGUGAAAGAAAUAUGGAAGAAAUAAACAACAGAUCCACAUUUGCCUUGGUUUGGAUUCAGCCAGCUGUUAGUUGAGGGCAGCUGCACCAGCCAAGCAAUUCUCAAGGGUGAGAAAAGUGGGUUUCUCAGGUAAGUUCUAGGCUUUCUGAGGAUCAACCUGGCAUCCCAUCCAUUUUUUUAAACCUAAAAGUUUCCCAUGAACCUUAGCAAACCCCCCCCCCCAACUCUUGCCUCUCCCCCCAAAUAUGAGACAGCUCCACCCAGUUUCCAUCAAUAUCUCAUAUAGUGUUCCCACCCCUCCAGAAGAAGGCUACUUAUAGUCCCUGGCCAUUCAAAGAUUGCCCUGUCCUGGUGCAGAGGAUCUCAAGAACUGAAUAGAUAUGGAGAUCCUGCUGCAAGCAGAUCCCACUUCCUAUUUUUACACUGCCAUUUGGCCUGGUUUUCAAAGCAGGCUUGAGAAGCAGCAGCAUCUUUCAUGCGUAGGGACCACUCAGCAUAUGCUUGACCUCCCAUUCUUCACUGUCAGUGGAAAAAUGAGCUGCAUUUCAAUAGGCUACCCUGCUAUGAACAAAUAGAGUAUCGGUCCCUCUCCCCACCUAAAAACACUGUCAGUGUGUAUGUGUAUUUUUGUGGGUGCACAUAUGGGUGUGUCUGUGGGGUGUGUGCCUGUGUGUGUGUGUGCCAUUUCUUUUUCUUUUACUUUUUAGAAAAAAGUCACUUUCACAAGGUCACUAAAAUCGAUUGUCUUCUUUCCAUUUUGAUUUUUUUUUUCAUUUGUUUCAAAUGGAGGGCUCUUCUAUGUUAAAUGCUAAUCACUCUACAAAAAGCAUUCUGUUCUAAACCACUAGGAAAUGUAACAAUGAAGCACGAAAAGUCAAAAGAAAAAGAGAGGAAAAAAAGAGAAGAAUUCGAAGAAAUCCAGUGGCCGAGUGACCGCAUUGGGGAAUGUGAAUCAUGAAGGACAACCAGAUAACCUCUAGAUCCUUCGUGAACCUUAGCUGUCCUUCAUUCUUAUUUGGCACUUCCUUAAUUGAAUUCCCUCUCCCUCCCUCCUUCCCACCCUUUCCCCUGACCUCAUCCUCUCCAUCAGAUUCUGGAAAGCAAUAUUAAAUUUGGCUGAGAUUAUACCAGUGCAACAAGAGACACAGAGAUAAGGUGUCUACAAAUGCAAAGAAUCUACUUGCCUCCUUCUCCCCCAUCCAUGAUAAACCUAUACUGAGAGAUGAUAAAUGCAAAAGGGAAUAACUGGAAACAAGGCUUCCAUCUUUUCAACGGGUUUCUGUUCCUGGAUCAUCUGAGCAUGGCAGAGAGCCUGAGAUGGUCCUCUGGAGCUGUUAAGUAGUCCAAGAGAGAUGGUGCUGGAAUCUGAGAAGGGGAGCCAAGUUCACU